CUGCACAUAAAAUUCAAAUGCUAACACCACAAUUCACAUAGGAAAGGAGCAUAUUUUCACCAUUACUUUUAACAUGUUUGUGUCAAUUUUAGAUACAAAGUGAACAAGUCUGAAAUCUGGAUGAAAAUAACAAACAAUCUUUCCUGACCUAACCUUACCUACUUUCCUAAAAUGUUUGUAAUACUAACCUAAAGCCUCCAUGCCAGAUACCUACAACCUACAAACCUUGCAACCAGCGUAAUACAUAACACCUCACAAGCUAUUCCAUUCCGAACCUAUUGAUUAGGAUCUUUGGUAUGCUUUUACUCAUUUCAUCUUAGCUUGCUAUCAUGCAGGUCUCUAAAGAAAUGUUUUGUUUUUCCUUCUUAGCUGUUGAAAUUUCUUUAAAGCCAACAAAACACACCAUGCAGUAAGCACAUGACAGAGGUCUCUGUCACUGCAUGAGGAAACUCGCAAUGCUGCUUGCAGGCUGUUGACAGAAAGUGAUCAGUUGUCGUGUGGCGCGGCGCUCCGUCAGCUGCUGCGCCGGGGUUAGCGGCGCUCAGCAGCUAUCAGCUGACACGGCGCGCCGUGCUCGAUCGCCGCGGCGCAUGUGCCGCUGCGCGACGCGCCGGGCGCCGACGGCCGUCGUCUGGCAGCAACAGCGCUGCCAGUGACUCGCUCUGCUGCUGCAGAAGCUGGACAAGGAUCGUAGAAUCGUGGCGUUCCAUCCGUAAAAGUCGAUCCCAGGCGGCCUAGUCGGAGAACAGGCCUAGUCGCCGGGCUGUCAGCCACCGAAUAGCAACUGGCGCAUCGCAACUCGGAGCUGGCCGCCCCGCCGAGGCUGAGCACACCACACCCUGGAGGACCUGCGCGCGCGCCGAGCUGGAGCAGGAGAGCGGGAGACGCGCGGCUGACCUGCGCCUGGAGCAGGGGCGCGCGCGGCUGGUCGAACAGGCGCGCAGGUGCAGCGGCGACUCGAGAAACAGGCUGAGUGUGAGGUGUCCUCCAGUCAGCAGGCCGCCGCUCAGAUGCAGAUUCUCAGGCUCACUGCCAGACUGUGGGGCGGCGCGCGCCACGCCACUUCAGCACGAGCCUGUGAUCUUGUAAACUGUGAACACUGCCAGUUCGGAAUUAAAAGAGUAAAAUCAGUGAACGUUCACUUCGGCUUCAUCGACGAGAGCAGCCAUCCAUGCGCGGCGCGCGCCGCCCCCGGCCGCCGCCGCCGUCGCGGCUGCUGUGCGGCAACACGUUCUGUUGCCGGUUCAAGUGUGCUGAGAUCUUCGUCUGUCUCAGCAAAGUGUAUGAUGGGGCGGCCCGCGACCCGGCGGUGUUUUUCGCGACGCUGCCGGCCUUGCAGAACGGUGUGCGACCUGCGGUGCCGGUGGCUGAUUGCGGCCCGGCGGCCGGCCGUCCGGGACCCGCGCGCUCACCACGUCCUGUCAUGCUGUGAUCAAACUGUGAACUCGGCGCGACACGACUGGCGAGCGCCGAGUGUGUGUUUAUGUAUCUAUAUGUGUGUGGAGAGGGGCGGCGGCAGUGGCCUGCCGCGCCACGCCGCCCGGGGAGUGUCCGCCGCGUAUUUUGUGUGCUGUAGCCGUCCCUCGGUCCUCGCUCGAUGUGCCGGCCGCCAGUGACGCUGCCUGCAGGACUGACGGGCGACGGCGGCCGGCUGGUAUUCAGCUGUGCCCGGGUCGUUGGCGUCUGCCACCAACCGAGAACGGACCUGUGAACCGUGGCCAAUUGCCGCAGACGCUGCCCUCUUAAUGAAUGUUGCUCGCCGUCGUGGACUCCACGAAUCCCAUGACAUUGUCGUUCCCUUCACCAGCUAGGAGAGAUACCGCAAACGUGUUGUUCGUUUCAUUGAGCUGCGCUCCAUUGAGUGCGCCGAGAGCGCACCAUUGAGUGCGCCGAGACUGACGUUAUUUAUCUGAAUAUUAAUAUAUCCCUAAAAUUA